rnacentral:rRNA from 1 species
AGAGUUUGAUCCUGGCUCAGAACGAACGCUGGCGGCGUGGCUAAGACAUGCAAGUCGCACGCACUAUGCUUAACCGUAUGGUGAGUGGCGAAAGGGUGAGGAAUAGAUAGGUAACGUACCCUGUGCACCGGAAUAGCGUCGUUAGUAGCAAUACUAACUACCGAAAGGGGCGGUAAUACCGGAUAACGUUGUCGGUCGCAUGACUGACAUCCAAUGGAUUUAUCGGCACAGGAGCGGCCUUUCUCCUAUCAGCUAGUUGGCGAGGUAAUGGCUCACCAAGGCUAUGACGGGUACCGGGAUUGAGAGAUUGACCCGGCACAUCGGAACUGAGACACUGUCCGGACCUCCACGGAGGGCUGCAGUAACGAAUAUUGGGCAAUGGGCGCAAGCCUGACCCAGCGACGCCGCGUGAAGGAUGAAGUCCUUCGGGAUGUAAACUUCUUUUAGGGUGCUGAAAGUCCGCAAGGAUUGAUCUAACCCAGAAAAAGUCACGGCUAACUCUGUGCCAGCAGCCGCGGUAAUACAGAGGUGGCAAGCGUUGUUCGGAAUCACUGGGCUUAAAGCGUGUGUAGGCAGAUAAGAAAGUGUCUUGUGAAAUCCCUCGCCUCAAUCGAGGAACUGCUGGGCAAACUACUUAUCUUGAGGUAGGCAGGGGUGCUUGGAACUCUUGGUGGAGCGGUGAAAUGCGUAGAUAUCAAGAGGAACGCCUGUGGUGAAAACGGAGCACUGGGCCUAUUCUGACGCUGAGACACGAAAGCGUGGGGAGUGAACGGGAUUAGAUACCCCGGUAAUCCACGCUGUAAACGAUGCAUACUUGGUGUUGGGAACUCUGACGUUCUCAAGACCGAAACAAAGCGUUAAGUAUGCCGCCUGGGGAGUACGGUCGCAAGGCUAAAACUCAAAUGAAAUGACGG